GGAACAAUAGUCAAGUGGUCAAGACAUCGCCCUUUCACGGCGGUAACGAGGGUUCGAUUCCCUCUUGUUCCA
rnacentral:tRNA from 1 species